GAACGAGAAAGUGGAGCAAUCCAUGAGUACAGUGGCGUACGGGUGAGUAACACGUGACUAACCUACCCUCGAGUGGGGAAUAACCUCGGGAAACCGGGGCUAAUACCGCAUAACAUCUUCGGAUCAAAUGCGUAAGCAGCUUGAGGAGGGGGUCGCGGCCGAUUAGCUAGUUGGCGGGGUAACGGCCCACCAAGGCGAUGAUCGGUAGCCGGCCUGAGAGGGCGCACGGCCACACUGGAACUGAAACACGGUCCAGACUCCUACGGGAGGCAGCAGUGGGGAAUUUUGCGCAAUGGGGGAAACCCUGACGCAGCAACGCCGCGUGGAGGAUGAAGCCCUUUGGGGCGUAAACUCCUUUCGAUCGGGACGAUUAUGACGGUACCGGAUGAAGAAGCACCGGCUAACUCUGUG
rnacentral:rRNA from 1 species